rnacentral:rRNA from 1 species
UACGGAGGGUGCUAGCGUUGUUCGGAUUUACUGGGCGUAAAGCGUGCGCAGGCGGUCGGGUAAGUCAGUGGUGAAAUCCUGUAGCUUAACUACAGAACUGCCAUUGAUACUAUUUGUCUUGAAUACCCUGGAGGUGAGCGGAAUAUGUCAUGUAGCGGUGAAAUGCUUAGAUAUGACAUAGAACAUCUAUUGCGAAGGCAGCUCACUACGGGAAUAUUGACGCUGAGGCACGAAAGCGUGGGGAUCAAACAGG